AUCAAACAACAUAACACAUCCUAUAUUAUUACAUUCAUUCAUAUUCAUGUAUUUUACAUCUCAACUACCAUUCCUUUUUCACCCAAAUGCAAUCUAAAUUAUUACAACAUUUAUAUCUUUAAUACAUCAUGUUACAUUGUGUUCUUUUCAUUUCUUUAACCCCUAAGCUAUGUCGACGGGGUAUUGCUAGCUCUGGUCUCUGGGGUAGGGCGCUAUCUAUGAUGCUACGCCCUCGCUUCGCUCCGCCGCGCC
rnacentral:lncRNA from 1 species